AAUUGUAGUUAUGGUCCCUAACACCCCGGUGUGCGGUUCCACGAAGUCUGUCGUGUCCAAUGUACCUAAAGCCUCGUUUAACAUUUACCUUAACACAUUAGAAAUGCAUUAAUCCAUGAGAUGGAAAUAAUUGUUCCUGAAACUGAACUACUGAGGAAUAAGAUUUCGCGCUUUAAACAGUUGGGGGAUUCGAACUGCGAACAAAUUAACAUUGCAACGUACGCACUGCACCCAUCUCUACCAUUUUCAGGGAAGGGAAACUUCGAGAAACCCCCCGCAUUCGUGCACCGUUAAAGAUCUGUGGGAGAUCCAAAAACUCCUAAUUUGUUUUCGAAUAGUUAAUUAUAGGGUCGUAAAUAAAGAGGGUUGGACAUAAUUUAUAGGUACUUUCUUUACGUUUAGUUCCUCUCCGAAACCGAUUUCGCCCAUAUACGUUUUGAUUGAUUGAUAGAAAUUCACGUACGAUUACAAAUGUGUAACGGAGGUAAAUAAUUGGCCUAUGUUUAUUGCGGUGAGGGUACCUUCGAAUUUGGUUAGAAACUUCCUUCAAUAUGUAGUGAUUGGGAAAUAAUUAAAUUCGCAUAUUCCAAACCUCAACUUAUUGUUCUCUCGUGCUUGUAAUCAUUGAUCAAAUCGGCCAUAUCUAAUCACCUAUUUGUUUUGAGAUAACAAAGGGGAAAGCUGAAAAGGUGCAAAAGUUAGCAUGGAUCCAAUCGUAAAACUUUUGCGAAAUUUCUCAGCAUCAUUGACCAUUUGAUCAAGGACCUUCUUCUAAGGCAGAUCCAUUGUAUACUGAUACGCUGAUAUUUAGAUUGGAAUGCCCAUCAAAGAUUCUCUGAUGAACAUGUCUUCAUCCUGACGAAGAAUAAUCAGUGACAGUGACGACCUUUAUGGUUAACUUUGUCAAGUCGAGAUUUAAGAACCGAUACUGUCCUUAGUUCGAUAAGGAGGAUGGGAGAAAUUGUGAAGGAAAUGUCCAACGGUUCCUUUCUCGAGUGCCUAAUUCAAUGAACCUAAAGCGUUUUAGCCGCAACGAUUUUCGGAUCGAUAUCAUGCAGCUCAACGAGCAGAAUGGUAACAAUAACAACUCACUUUUUGUAGUGAAUCUGUAACACUGUGCACAGAUAUAUUACGUAUAUCUGUGGUACAGUGUAGACAAAUAAUUCAUUAACGAAGUAUUAUUGUUUUUUUCAGAUUCCUUUUUCUACCACCGCUACCACCACAAAUUCACAAUAUAUAUUUUACUUAUCAUUUUUUUCUUGUUCAGUUCAAUAAUCUUGUUGUAGGCUUGACUGAAGGGCUGCACCGAUCCAUCUCAUAUUCAGGUUCAGCAGGGUUGUUUCUUAGACGACUCCGAUUUGAAGGCCCGAUUGUACCACAUUCGUGUAAUUUAGGGUCAGUACUCAAUUGAACUGAAAGAAGGUGGUUAGGCAAUUGCAGAGUUUUAACCAAUUCCCGAAGUCGGUUCAACUGAACAUCAAUUUGGUACAAUCUGGCCUAAGCUUUUCAAGAGGACACCAGAUGCAAUCAACAACGAUUGCAUCUUCGUAAUAAUUGUAACUGUAAAUUCUUAAAAUUACAAUAAAAAUCUCA